UACGUAGGAUGCAAGCGUUGUCCGGAAUUAUUGGGCGUAAAGAGCGCGCAGGCGGUAUGACAAGUCAGAUGUGAAAGAGGCCGGCUUAACCGGCAAGGGUCAUUUGAAACUGUCAGACUAGAGUGCAGCAGAGGAUAGUGGAAUUCCCGGUGUAGUGGUGAAAUGCGUAGAUAUCGGAAGGAACGCCGGUGGCGAAAGCGGCGCGCUGGACCUCUUCUGACGCUGAGGCGCGAAAGCUAGGGGAGCAAACGGG
rnacentral:rRNA from 1 species